rnacentral:rRNA from 1 species
UACGUAGGGGCAAGCGUUGUCCGGAAUCAUUGGGCGUAAAGAGCGCGUGAGGCGGUCCGGUAAGUCCGCUCUGAAAGUCCGGGGCUCAACCCCGGGAGGCGGGCGGAUACUGCCGGGCUAGAGUCCGGAAGAGGCGAGUGGAAUUCCUGGUGUAGCGGUGAAAUGCGCAGAUAUCAGGAAGAACACCCGUGGCUAAGGCGGCUCUCUAGUACGGUACUGACGCUGAGACGCGAAAGCGUGGGGAGCGAACAGG